rnacentral:rRNA from 1 species
GACGAACGCUGGCGGCGUGCUUAACACAUGCAAGUCGAACGGAAAGGCCCUGCUUUUGUUGGGUUCUCGAGUGGCGAACGGGUGAGUAACACGUGAGUAACCUGCCCUUGACUUUGGGAUAACUUCACGAAACUGGGGCUAAUAUCGGAUAUGAUCUCCUGCUGCAUGGUGGGGGUUGGAAAGUUUCGGCGGUUGUGGAUGGACUCGCGGCUUAUCAGCUUGUUGGUGGGGUAGUGGCUUACCAAGGCUUUGACGGGUAGCCGGCCUGAGAGGGUGACCGGCCACAAUGGGACUGAGAGACGGCCCAGAAUCCUACGGGAGGCAGCAGUGGGGAAUAUGGCACAAUGGGCGGAAGCCUGAUGCAGCAACGCCGCGUGCGGGAUGACGGCCUUCGGGUUGUAAACCGCUGUCGCAUGUGACGAAGCGUGAGUGACGGUAAUGGGUAAAGAAGCACCGGCUAACUACGUG